UCCUAAGGGGCGCAGCAGUCGAGAAUCAUUCACAAUGGGGGAAACCCUGAUCCAGCGAUGCCGCGUGAGGGAAGAAGGUUUUCGGAUUGUAAACCUCUGUGGACAGGGACGAUAAUGACGGUACCUGUCAAGAAAGCCACGGCUAACUACGUGCCAGCAGCCGCGGUAAUACGUAGGUGGCGAGCGUUGUCCGGAAUUACUGGGUGUAAAGGGAGUGUAGGCGGGAAGGCAAGUCAG
rnacentral:rRNA from 1 species